AGCGAACGCUGGCGGCAGGCCUAACACAUGCAAGUCGAACGAACCCUUCGGGGUUAGUGGCGGACGGGUGAGUAACACGUGGGAACGUGCCUUUAGGUUCGGAAUAACUCAGGGAAACUUGUGCUAAUAUCGAAUGUGCCCUUCGGGGGAAAGAUUUCUCGCCUCUAGAGCGGCCCGCGUCUGAUUAGUUAGUUGGUGAGGUAAUGGCUCACCAAGGCUACGAUCAGUAGCUGGUCAGAGAGGAUGACCAGCCACAUUGGUACUGAGACACGGCAAUAAGUAGUACGGGAGGCAGCAGUGGGGGAUCAGGCACAAUGGGCGAAAGCCUGACGCAGCCAUGCCGCGUGGAUGAUGAAGGUCUUAGGAUGGUAAAAUCCUGUCGCCGGUGAAGAUGAUGACUGUAGCCGGAGAAGAAGCCCCGGUCAACUUCGUGCCAGCCGCCGCUGUAACAC
rnacentral:rRNA from 1 species